AUUGAACGCUGGCGGCAUGCUUUACACAUGCAAGUCGAACGGCAGCGCGGGCUUCGGCCUGGCGGCGAGUGGCGAACGGGUGAGUAAUACAUCGGAACGUGCCCCGUAGUGGGGGAUAGCUCGGCGAAAGCCGGAUUAAUACCGCAUACGACCUGAGGGUGAAAGCGGGGGAUCUUCGGACCUCGCGCUAUUGGAGCGGCCGAUGGCAGAUUAGCUAGUUGGUGGGGUAAAGGCCUACCAAGGCGACGAUCUGUAGCUGGUCUGAGAGGACGACCAGCCACACUGGGACUGAGACACGGCCCAGACUCCUACGGGAGGCAGCAGUGGGGAAUUUUGGACAAUGGGCGAAAGCCUGAUCCAGCAAUGCCGCGUGUGUGAUGAAGGCCUUCGGGUUGUAAAGCACUUUUGGCGGGAACGAAAAGGACUGUGCCAAUACCACGGUUCGAUGACGGUACCCGCAGAAUAAGCACCGGCUAACUACGUG
rnacentral:rRNA from 1 species